rnacentral:rRNA from 1 species
AACGAACGCUGGCGGCAGGCCUAACACAUGCAAGUCGAGCGCCCCGCAAGGGGUGCGGCGGACGGGUGAGUACCGCGUGGGAAUAUGCCCUUUGCUACGGAAUAGUCUCGGGAAACUGGGGGUAAUACCGUAUACGCCCUUUGGGGGAAAGAUUUAUCGGCGAAGGAUUAGCCCGCGUUGGAUUAGGUAGUUGGUUGGGUAAUGGCCUACCAAGCCGACGAUCCAUAGCUGGUUUGAGAGGAUGAUCAGCCACACUGGGACUGAGACACGGCCCAGACUCCUACGGGAGGCAGCAGUGGGGAAUCUUAGAAAAUGGGGGCAACCCUGAUCUAGCCAUGCCGCGUGAGUGAUGAAGGCCUUAGGGUUGUAAAGCUCUUUCAGCUGGGAAGAUAAUGACGGUACCAGCAGAAGAAGCCCCGGCUAACUCCGUG